UACAGAGGGUGCGAGCGUUGUUCGGAAUUACUGGGCGUAAAGCGCGCGCAGGCGGCCCUUUAAGUCUACCCGUGAAAUGCCGGAGCUCAACUCCGUGCACGCCGGGGGAUACUGGGAGGCUGGAGACAGGUAGAGGCAAGCGGAAUUCCGGGUGUAGCGGUGGAAUGCGUAGAGAUCCGGAAGAACACCUGAGGCGAAGGCGGCUUGCUGGGCCUGGUCUGACGCUGAGGCGCGAAAGCGUGGGGAGCAAACAGG
rnacentral:rRNA from 1 species